rnacentral:rRNA from 1 species
CAAUAGCGUAUAUUAAAGUUGUUGCAGUUAGAACGCUCGUAGUCGGAUUUCGGGGCGGGCCGACCGGUCUGCCGAUGGGUAUGCACUGGUCGGCGCGUCCUUCCUUCCGGAGACCGUCCCUACUCUUAACUGAGCGGGGGCGGGAGACGGGACUUUUACUUUGAAAAAAUCAGAGUGUUUCAAGCAGGCAGCCCGCUCUUGCAUGGAUUAGCAUGGGAUAAUGAAAUAGGACUUUGGUGCUAUUUUGUUGGUUUCGAACACCGAAGUAAUGAUGAGAAGGGACAGUCAGGGGCACUCGUAUUCCGCCGAGAGAGGUGAAAUUCUCAGACCAGCGGAAGACGAACCACUGCGAAAGCAUUUGCCAGGGAUGUUUNCACUGA